rnacentral:lncRNA from 1 species
CUGCAAUCUCUUCUCCCAAGGAACCAUAAUCUCUUCUCCCAAGGAACCGCUGCGUCUCCUCCUAUCAUCUACUCAGCCUCUUCCCUCUCCAUUUUCUUAACUUAUCGUCCACCUCAAGUUCGAGCGGCACUAGCAAUGCACAUGGCGAGCUUAAGCAUGCAUGAGCGCAGCAGCGUGGGGCGCCAUUGCGAGCUCGAGCAUAUGCAGCCGAGUCCUCGAGAAGGAUGAUGCAGCGAAAGGAUGGCGCACGGUAAGCUCGACCACUGCAACACGACGAGCGAGAGGGCGGUGCACAGUGAGCUCAUCCGCCGCGACACGACGAGAAGGUGGUGCUCGGCGAGCUCGCGACCUUGUCUCCCUCGUCUAGAUGUGCAACACAUAGGGAGUCAUCGGAAGUGGAGUCAGAUCUGUUUGUGUUGAUUAGAGUAACAGGAUGGCAACGGUGGCAUGACCUAGUGCGUGGAAUAUGCUAUUGCGAUAUUUUAUUUCUAGAUGUUACACUAUAUUAUUUUGUAUGUUGCAACAGGUGAUUUUGGAUGUUUCAAACUUUUUCCUUUGAUG